GGGCCUAUAGCUCAGUUAGUUUAGAGCACACGCCUGAUAAGCGUGAGGGCAGUGGUGCAAUUCCACUUAGGCCCA
rnacentral:tRNA from 1 species